UAGGGAAUCUUCGGCAAUGGACGAAAGUCUGACCGAGCAACGCCGCGUGAGUGAAGAAGGUUUUCGGAUCGUAAAACUCUGUUGGUAGAGAAGAACGUUGGUGAGAGUGGAAAGCUCAUCAAGUGACGGUAACUACCCAGAAAGGGACGGCUAACUACGUGCCAGCAGCCGCGGUAAUACGUAGGUCCCGAGCGUUGUCCGGAUUUAUUGGGCGUAAAGCGAGCGCAGGUGGUUUAUUAAGUCUGGUGUAAAAGGCAGUGGCUCAACCAUUGUAUGCAUUGGAAACUGGUAGACUUGAGUGCAGGAGAGGAGAGUGGAAUUCCAUGUGUAGCGGUGAAAUGCGUAGAUAUAUGGAGGAACACCGGUGGCGAAAGCGGCUCUCUGGCCUGUAACUGACACUGAGGCUCGAAAGCGUGGGGAGCAAACAGGAUUAGAUACCCUGGUAGUCCACGCCGUAA
rnacentral:rRNA from 1 species